GCCCCAGUUCGGGAGACAUGGCGGGCGUUAAAGCUCUUGUGGCAUUAUCCUUCAGUGGGGCUAUUGGACUGACUUUUCUUAUGCUGGGAUGUGCCUUAGAGGAUUAUGGAGUCACCUAUGACUCAGACGCAACCAGUAGUGCCUGUCGGGAACUGGCAUAUUUCUUCACUACUGGAAUUGUUGUUUCUGCCUUUGGAUUUCCUGUUAUUCUUGCUCGUGUGGCUGUGAUCAAAUGGGGAGCCUGUGGCCUUGUGUUGGCAGGCAAUGCAGUCAUUUUCCUUACAAUUCAAGGGUUUUUCCUUAUAUUUGGAAGAGGAGAUGAUUUUAGCUGGGAGCAGUGGUAGC
rnacentral:sRNA from 1 species